rnacentral:rRNA from 1 species
CACGGACCACGAGAAGGACUCGCGCGAAAGCAGCGAGUCCGCGCGAGGGGUCCGAGCUCGAAGUCGAAAGACUGCGAGUGCACGGACGCCCGCGGGAAUCGCUGGCUAGGACAAACUUCACGUCCCUCCGGGGCUGAGCUAACUAGUCAGCAUCCUCGUCACAUGACUUCGACCCCGAGAGGGGCGAGGCAUGAAUGACACCCAAAAGUCCCGGCUAGACCGGGCAAGCAAGAAUCAAACUGGAGAGUUUGAUCCUGGCUCAGAGCGAACGUUUGCGGCGGGCUUAACACAUGCAAGUCGAACGAGAAUCCCUUCGGGGAGGAAAGUGGCGCACGGGUGCGUAACACGUGGAUGACCUACCCCUUGGUUCGGGACAACAGCGGGAAACUGCUGCUAAUACCGGAUGUGUCGUAGCAAUACGAGAAAGGCCCGCAAGGGUCGCCAGAGGACGGGU